UACGAAGGUGGCAAGCGUUGUUCGGAUUCACUGGGCGUACAGGGUGUGUAGGCGGUUUGGUAAGCCUUUUGUGAAAUCUUCGGGCCUAACCCGGAAAGAGCAGAAAAGACUGCCAAGCUAGAGGACAAGAAAAAAGCGCGGAAUUCCCGAUGUAGCGGUGAAAUGCGUAGAGAUCAAGAGGAAAGCCGAUGGCGAAGGCGGCGCUCUAGAACGUAUCUGACGCUGAGACACGAAAGCGUGGGGAGCAAACAGG
rnacentral:rRNA from 1 species